rnacentral:lncRNA from 1 species
GACUCAGCCCGGCCCUACCAGGCCCUGCAUGGCCCAGGCGGGCGGAAAGAGGCUGCCGAGCUCCAGCCCAAAGAGCCGGCACCGUCCCGGGACUGCCCGCACCGCGAGGGUGCUCCGAGCUGCGGCGCUGGGCUCUGGCAAGCGCCUCGCAGUCCCUGAGACUGUCUGUUCACCUGGAUGCACCAGGCCUUCACCCGCCGUUUCCCUGCGAUCCCACAGAAUCUAAGGAGUUCAGUAAAUGCCAAGGGUUUUAGGAGCAUUUGUCGGUGUGACUCUUCAGAUGCUUGCCCCAAGUCUUCGUUUCUUAGUUAAAGGCCCAGUAAGUAUAGGGAGCUUUCCCUGUAUUCGGCUUCAGAUUUCGGAAAUGGAGAAAACAUGCACAAGAUGAUGGGAACUUUCACAACUGUCUUGAUUCAUUGUAACCACACUAGUGUUUCCAAACCGUACGUGAAAGCUUUACCCUUUGUCCUUUUGGUGGUGGUUGUUUGUUUCUGUGUUUUAUUACCGCUUCCUAAAUUAUAAGGAAAAAAUUCACACCUUAGUGAUAGAUGGAAAUUGCUUAAAUAUCAGAAAGGAUCCAGAUCAAGCACUUUUCUAGUCAUGCUGUAAUACAAGAGUUAUAUAAAGAUAAUUUAUGUCUUUAGUAAAGGAAAAAGUAGGACACUGGCUAAGGCUGCCUCCCUCUCGUACAUUCCAACAUCGGAAAUGGUCCUACCACAAAGCAAACUAAGCCUAAUGUAAUUAGACUGCAUCCCCAAAAUGUCACAGUGAAUUGACUAAGACAAAAUAUUUGAGACAAGUUAUACAAGCAAACAUCAAAAAGAAGGCAGAAGACCUCACUUUCAGCUAAAGACCUUGCUAAUUCUAGAGCUGCCACUGUCUAAAUACAUUAGAGUGGAGACUGUAAAAGUCAAACAAGGCUAGGUAAGGAAGGCUUUGGGCAUCCAGCGGAAGAACUUUACUUGAGGAAUGAAGGCUGAACCAGGCUUCUAACCUAGAUGAGGAGACAGUGAAAAUAAAGGAAACUUCUCUAUACAUACAGGAAUUUGACAACAGUUUGUGCCACUUAUGGAUUUAAAGAACUGGCACCUUGAAUGGGAUUCUGAAUAGAAUUCGUACAGAUGGAAUGUAAAUAUCACCCUGAACUGAAUUGGCCCUCAUCCUGUCUUCAAGACAGGGAUAGUUGGAAGACACAACCGUUCCAUGGACUUUGAUGUUCUUGAUAUUCAUUCUUGGUAUUGGCAUUAUGAGUUGUGACACUAGGAGGAGUCUCCAAGUGACUUUGAAAUGAGAAGACAGGAACAAAGAGGUGUCAUACAUCCCUCACAGAUGGUCAGAAGUAUCUAAAGAGUUUUUGCCAAAGAGAUAGGGUCCUGAAUGGGCAGCAGGGUUAAGAGAAAAAUGUGUAGUUAUUAAUGUUAAUGAGACAUCCUUUGCUACAAGAUGAUGGUGAGGUCUCAAGGAGAUCUAGGUUAUAUUUAUAAGGGAUCACUCCAAUUACUACAUGUCUGUCUUUUCUAAAAUUAGACUUUAUUGUGCUCUAUUAAAAUAGCUUUAUCUUUAGAAGAGAGUAGCUUGCAUGUUUAGCCAGCUUUUAAAGUAAAAGUUUU